UACAGAGGGGGCAAGCGUUGUUCGGAAUUACUGGGCGUAAAGGGCGCGUAGGCGGCCCGCUAAGUCGAACGUGAAAUCCCCGAGCUCAACUCGGGAACUGCGUCCGAUACUGGCGGGCUUGAAUCCGGGAGAGGGAUGCGGAAUUCCAGGUGUAGCGGUGAAAUGCGUAGAUAUCUGGAGGAACACCGGUGGCGAAGGCGGCAUCCUGGACCGAGAUUGACGCUGAGGCGCGAAAGCCAGGGGAGCAAACGGG
rnacentral:rRNA from 1 species